CUAAGUUGAUGGCCCACAAAACAAAUUUUAUUUGGAGUAAAAGUUGUUUGAAGUUUGUUUCCUUGUCUGCUUUUAAAGAGUGGUUUGCUCAUUCCAAGUACAUUAAUAGUUAUCUCUCUUCAGUAUACCAAUAUAUCAAUAAUAGUAUACCAAUAAUAAUAAUAAUUACCUUGAAUGAAAAACAGUUUAGGUUCAAAAUACCAGGAAGAAAUAAAAUAACACAGAAAUGUAUCCUGGUGCCAACACAAAAAACAGAAAUAUUCAAAUAUAAGAUACUUGCUUCCUCUAACAUCCUUGGAUUCCCAAACUAGUAUUUGUUCCCCAUAGAAACAGAUAUCACUCCUUGUGUCUUUUUUUAAAAUUAACAUUGUUUAUAAGGGCUUUAGAAUUUUACACAUUAAUCUCAAUGAGAAAAGUGACAGAUAAAACCAACCUAUAAAAAAUAAUAUUCUUUUUAGAAAUCUUCCUAUAAAUGAUCAGUUUGCCCUCUUUUUUUCUCAAUUUAUGGAAAUUUUGCCCUUAUAUUCCCAAUGAAUUUAUUUUAACCUUUAUCAAUAUGUUGUUACUCUAAAAAUAGAUGAUUUAGUAAACUGAAAAAAAUUAGAAAGCUAUAUUGCUGCAUAUGUACUGUGGUCUGAUAUUACACCUAUUUUGUGGUUUGGUACUAGGGAUUAAAUUCAGGCCCUCUAACAUGUGAAGAAUAAAAACAAACAAAAUAGUCUUUUUGAACUACUAGACAUGCUUCAGAAAAAAAUAAUUUUAAAUAAUACAAAUGCUGCCACAUGAGUACUCCUAGUUUCUCUAUUUCCUACCACCUUUAUAACUAUAAUGAAAAUUAUCAUCAUUCUUAUGAAAUACUUGACAAGAGCACUUACUUCUGUGAUUUCCACUUUAGUGCUAACUCACACUCAGCAAUGAAUUACAGUUGAAAACAAACUUAAAGAGACAGAGGGAAAGAUAUUUUUUAAUGGAUAAAGAUGAAGAAGAAUUGACAUCUCUAUUAGGAAGAGCAGAAUUUAAAGUUUUGGAAAGAAUAACAUCAUUGGCAGCCAUUUUAUAUACUCACUUCAAAUGUGAGUGGUUGAAAAAAUGGGAAUUGGGAGUUCUGUCCUGAAAACUAAAGGACAGCAAGCUUGUAUCUAGGAAAUGCAUAGCCUGGGAAUUAAAAAGACCAACCUCACUGCUGAAUUUGUUUAAACUUAAUUUGAUGGUUAAAUUGUUUUUUAUUUUGGCCUCAUUUUGUAUUCUAGCUGCUCUGAGAUUUUUGUGCUUUGAAACAAAUAAUGAAGUUAAUUUUUAUUUCAAGAGUGAAAUACUAAAAAAAAACUCUAUUUAUUGGCCAGAUGGAAGACCUCAACACAGAAAACUUGCAUUUAUGUCUAGAGCUGUCAUUUCUCAUACUGCACAAUGGAAAAUUUGAAAAGCUGAUUGAUUCUCCUUCACAUGAAUUUUCAAAGUCAAUUUCCAACCACACUACAACCCAGCUAUGUUGGAUGAGGGGAUUAUAGGAGGAAGAGAGGAAAAUGGCCUUAGAUUAGUCAUGUUUGUAUACAGAGAAUUCAAGUGAGUUUUAACACAAUAAUUCUAAUUUAAAAAAGUAUGUGUUGUAAGAGACACAAAGGAGCUUUUCUUCUGCUUGGUAACUAU